rnacentral:tRNA from 1 species
GGCCGUGUGGCGUAAUGGCAACGCGUCUGACUACGAUUUGCUAUCAGGAGAUUGCAGGUUCGACCCCUGUCUCGGUCA